rnacentral:rRNA from 1 species
AACGAACGUUAGCGGCGCGCUUAACACAUGCAAGUCGCACGAGAAAGGGCUUCGGCCCCGGUAAAGUGGCGCACGGGUGAGUAACACGUGGAUAAUCUUCCCUCGGGCGGGGGGAUAACAUUCCGAAAGGAGUGCUAAUACCGCAUAAGACCACGAUUCCGAAAGGAGUUGAGGUAAAAGCCGGCCUCUAUAUAUAAGCUGGCACCUGAGUUCGAUGAGUCCGCGUCCCAUCAGCUAGUUGGAGGGUAAUGGCCUACCAAGGCUAAGACGGGUAGCUGGUCUGAGAGGAUGAUCAGCCACACUGGAACUGAGACACGGUCCAGACUCCUACGGGAGGCAGCAGUGGGGAAUCUUGCGCAAUGGACGAAAGUCUGACGCAGCGACGCCGCGUGGGUGAUGAAGGCCUUC